GACGGAGGGUGCGAGCGUUAAUCGGAAUUACUGGGCGUAAAGCGCACGCAGGCGGUUUGUUAAGCUAGAUGUGAAAGCCCCGGGCUCAACCUGGGAUGGUCAUUUAGAACUGGCAGACUAGAGUCUUGGAGAGGGGAGUGGAAUUCCAGGUGUAGCGGUGAAAUGCGUAGAUAUCUGGAGGAACGUCAGUGGCGAAGGCGACUCCCUGGCCAAAGACUGACGCUCAUGUGCGAAAGUGUGGGUAGCGAACAGG
rnacentral:rRNA from 1 species